UACGAAGGGGGCUAGCGUUGCUCGGAAUCACUGGGCGUAAAGCGCACGUAGGCGGAUUGCUAAGUCAGGGGUGAAAUCCUGGAGCUCAACUCCAGAACUGCCUUUGAUACUGGCGAUCUCGAGUCCGGGAGAGGUGAGUGGAACUGCGAGUGUAGAGGUGAAAUUCGUAGAUAUCGCAAGAACACCAGUGGCGAAGGCGGCUCACUGGCCCGGUACUGACGCUGAGGUGCGAAAGCGGUGGGGAGCAAACGG
rnacentral:rRNA from 1 species